GGAGUAGGUAUAGCUCAGUGGUUGAGCGCAUGCUUCACAUGUAUGAGAUCCUGGGUUCAAUCCCCGGUACCUCCU
rnacentral:tRNA from 1 species